rnacentral:rRNA from 1 species
AACGAACGUUGGCGGCGUGGAUUAGGCAUGCAAGUCGAACGAAGAUCCGUGGCUGUAGCAAUACAGACCUGGGGUAAGUGGCGAAAGGGGCAGUAAGGCGUGGGUAACCUACCCUGGGGACGGGCAUAGCCGUCCUAACGAGUUGGUAAUUCCGGGCGAUGUAGCGAGAUCGCAUGUCUUUGUUAUCAAAUGAAUUUCGCCUUGGGAGGGGCUCACGUGGUAUUAGCUAGUUGGUGGGGUAACGGCCUACCAAGGCAAAGAUGCCUAGCGGGUGUGAGAGCACGACCCGCGCCACUGGCACUGAGACACUGGCCAGACUCCUACGGGAGGCUGCAGUCGAGGAUCUUCGGCAAUGGGCGCAAGCCUGACCGAGCGACGCCGCGUGUGCGAUGAAGGCCUUCGGGUUGUAAAGCGCUGUCGAGGGGGAGGAAGCCGCAAGGUUGACCUAUCCCUGGAGGAAGCACGGGCUAAGUUCGUGCCAGCAGCCGCGGUAAGACGAACCGUGCGAACGUUGUUCGGAAUCACUGGGCUUAAAGGGCGCGUAGGCGGGGGACCAAGUCCUGGGUGAAAUCUUUCGGCUCAACCGGAAAAGUGCCUGAGAUACUGGUCUUCUGGAGGGAGGUAGGGGCAGCUGGAACUUCCGGUGGAGCGGUGAAAUGCGUUGAUAUCGGAAGGAACGCCGGUGGCGAAAGCGACCUGCUGGACCUCUUCUGACGCUGAGGCGCGAAAGCCAGGGGAGCAAACGGGAUUAGAUACCCCGGUAGUCCUGGCCCUAAACGAUGGGUACUAGGUUGUGGACUUGACAUGGGUUCGCAGCCGAAGCAAAAGUGUUAAGUACCCCGCCUGGGGAGUAUGGUCGCAAGGCUG